UUUAUGUUUAAUUCAAUAGUUGAAAUGAAUAAUAAACAUGAUUUUCAACUUUAAACAAUACUUUAUUUACCUUAUCAAGCCAGAAAGAUACCCAUGAAACAACGACAAGCAUAAUACAUGGAAUGUAAAGUUGAAUGAGAUAAUAACUGAAAUUAAAAGUUAGUUGUUUAGAUUUUUUGGGAAAACAAAAUUCAAUUUGUAUCAAAAGUCUUACCUGUAUUCU
ensembl:ncRNA B0207.13 ncRNA